GCAGGUGGGGGUGCUCCCUCUCUCUCUGUCUGCUCUCUCUCUCUAUCUCUCUCUCUCACUCUCGCUCUCUGUCUGCUCUCUCUCCCUCUCUCUCUCUCUCUCUCUCUCUCUGCUCUCUGUGGGUCCCGCCGAAGGCCUCCGCCAAACGCGGGGAGGCCCCCCUGGUGCUCGGCGGGCGCACAUGGUAGGCCCCUCCCCUCUCUCUCCCUUUCUCUCUCUCUCUUCUGCUCUCUCUCUCUCUCUUCCUCGGUUCUCUCUCUCUCCCCCUCUCUCUGUAUGCUCUCUCUCUCUCCUCGGGCAGAGCUGAGCAGGGGAGGGAAUUGCUGGCGAGACGACGCGUGGC
rnacentral:lncRNA from 1 species